rnacentral:rRNA from 1 species
UACGGAGGGUGCAAACGUUGCUCGGAAUCAUUGGGCGUAAAGCGCACGUAGGCGGUCCGGCAAGUCGGGUGUGAAAUCCCUCGGCUUAACCGAGGAAGUGCAUUCGAAACUACCGGACUUGAAUACUGGAGAGGGUCGCGGAAUUCCCGGUGUAGAGGUGAAAUUCGUAGAUAUCGGGAGGAACACCAGUGGCGAAGGCGGCGACCUGGACAAAUAUUGACGCUGAGGUGCGAAAGCGUGGGGAGCAAACAGG